rnacentral:lncRNA from 1 species
GUAGAGUAUGAGAUAGUAGAGUAUGAGAGGGUAGAGUAUGACACAGUAGAGUAUGAGACAGUAGAGUAUGAGAGUAGAAUAUGAGGUAGGAGAGUAUGAGGCAGUAGAGUAUGAGAUGGUAAAGUAUGAGGUAGUAGAGUAUGAGCCAGUAGAGUAUGAAAUGGUAGAGUAUGAGGUAGUAGUGUAUAAAGUAGUAGAGUUUGAACCAGUAGAGUAUGAGAGGGUAUAGUAUGAAGGUAGAAUAUGAGGUAGUAGAGUAUGAGGCAGUAGAGUAUGAAAUAGUAGAGUAUGAGACAGUAGAGUAUGAGAUAGUAGAGUAUGACGCAGUAGAGUAUGAGGUAGUAGAGUAUGAGACAGUAGAGUAUGAGAUAGUAGAGUAUGAGAUAGUAGAGUAUGAGGCAGUAGAGUAUGAGACGGUAGAGUAUGAGAUAGUAGAGUAUGAGGUAGUAGAGUAUGAGGCAGUAGAGUAUGAAAUAGUAGAGUAUGAGACAGUAGAGUAUGAGAUAGUAGAGUAUGACGUAGUAGAGUAUGAGGAAGUAAAGUAAGAAAGUAGAAUAUGAGGUAGUAGAGUAUGAGGCAGUAGAGUAUGAGCGGGUAGAGUGUGAGAGUAAAAUAUGAGGCAGUAUAGUAUGUGGAAGUAGAGCAUGAAAGUAGAGUAUGAGGCAGUAGAGUAUGAGAUAGUAG